GCGGGAGUGGCGGAAUUUGGUAGACGCGCUGGAUUUAGGAUCCAGUGGUGAAAGCCGUGUGGGUUCGAGUCCCACCUCUCGCA
rnacentral:tRNA from 1 species